UACGGAGGAUCCAAGCGUUAUCCGGAUUCAUUGGGUUUAAAGGGUGCGUAGGCGGAAUGAUAAGUCAGUGGUGAAAUCUCUCGGCUUAACCGAGAAACUGCCAUUGAUACUGUCAAUCUUGAGUACAUUUGAUGUGGGCGGAAUGUGUCAUGUAGCGGUGAAAUGCUUAGAUAUGACACAGAACACCGAUUGCGAAGGCAGCUCACAAAACUGUAACUGACGCUGAGGCACGAAAGCGUGGGGAGCAAACGGG
rnacentral:rRNA from 1 species